UACGGAGGGGGCUAGCGUUGUUCGGAAUUACUGGGCGUAAAGCGCGCGUAGGCGGAUCUGCAAGUCGGGGGUGAAAUCCCGAGGCUCAACCUCGGAACUGCCUUCGAUACUGCGGGUCUCGAGUCCGGGAGAGGUGAGUGGAAUUCCUAGUGUAGAGGUGAAAUUCGUAGAUAUUAGGAAGAAACACCAGUGGCGAAGGCGGCUCACUGG
rnacentral:rRNA from 1 species